UACGUAGGGGGCGAGCGUUGUCCGGAUUUAUUGGGCGUAAAGAGCUCGUAGGCGGUUCGGUAAGUCGGAUGUGAAAUCUCCACGCUCAACGUGGAGGGGCCAUUCGAUACUGCCGUGACUCGAGUCCGGUAGGGGAGUGUGGAAUUCCCGGUGUAGCGGUGAAAUGCGUAGAGAUUGGGAAGAACAUCGGUGGCGAAAGCGCUCUACUGGACCUCAUCUGACACUCAGGGACGAAAGCUAGGGGAGCGAAUGGG
rnacentral:rRNA from 1 species